rnacentral:rRNA from 1 species
AAAAGAUCCCAUUUGAGCUUGAAAGGCACUCAAUCCUAUCUGAUCUUGGCAGCUAAGCAGGGUCAGCCCUGGUUAGUACUUGGAUGGGAGACCGCCUCCAUAGAUUGUGUGUCCGGCAGAGAAUUCCAGCUGCUUCCUUUU